UCAUGUGGAAACGUUGGUAAAUUAUUAAAGUAUAUUUUUAGUAUCGUGGUGACGAGUGUGCGACAACCUUCCUUCACAGACUAGCAGAAGAGAAACAUGAUUAGUUUCUAUACAAAAAUCCAUUUUUGGCCUUCAGUUUGCUUGAUAGGUGUUCCACAUGGGUCUGAAAAUGGGUCGAGUCACCCCCACCCUGACAGUGCUGCCCCCCUCCAGCGAGGAGCUGCAGCAGGGGGAGGCCACGCUCGUGUGUCUGGCCAACAAGGCCUACCCCUCAGACUGGAGUCUGGCCUGGAAGGUGGACGGCAGCAGCAGCAGCUUGGAGCAGAGCAGGAGCCCCGGGGUGCUGCAGAAUGAUGGCCGCUACAGCUGGAGCAGCACCCUGAGGCUCCCUGCAGACCAGUGGAGGAAGGUGGGCUCUGUGACCUGUGAGGCCACCCAGGGCUCCCAGACUCCAGUCUCAGAGACACUG